rnacentral:tRNA from 1 species
GGGGCUAUAGCUUAAUUGGCAGAGCGGUAGAUUUGCAUUCUACGGAUUCCAGUUCGAUUCUGGAUAGCUCCA